rnacentral:rRNA from 1 species
UUGAACGCUGGCGGCAUGCCUUACACAUGCAAGUCGAACGGUAGAGGGGCAACCCUUGAGAGUGGCGAACGGGUGAGUAAUGCAUCGGAACGUGCCCAGUCGUGGGGGAUAACGCAGCGAAAGCUGUGCUAAUACCGCAUGUGAUCUGUGGAUGAAAGCAGGGGACCGCAAGGCCUUGUGCGGUUGGAGCGGCCGAUGUCAGAUUAGCUAGUUGGUAGGGUAAAGCCUACCAAGGCGACGAUCUGUAGCUG